AGUCGUAACAAGGUAUCCGUAGGUGAACCUGCGGAUGGAUCAUUAGAAAGUGCGAGGUGCUUCGGCACCGACACCCACUCUGUGCACUGUAACGUACCCUGCGGUCGAGGCUUAGGCUCGAGGCCGCGCUGGCUGUUCCUUACGGACGGCCGAACAAACACAUCAACCAACGUCUGAAGCUAAAGAAACAAUGUUAAACAACUUUUGACAACGGAUCUCUUGGCUCUCGCAACGAUGAAGAACGCAGCGAAAUGCGAUACGUAAUGUGAAUUGCAGAAUUCCGUGAAUCAUCGAAUCUUUGAACGCAUCUUGCGCUUCUUGGCAUUCCAGGAAGCAUGCCUGUUUGAGUCUCAGUUGACUCUCACUCUGUGGAUCUGGGCGACUCGCUCCGGCGACCGCCUGAAAUGCAUCAAGCUGGCCUCUAGAGUGCUCAACACUUGUGGCUCGAUAAUACUUCGGUUUAUUAGUCAUUUCCUGUUGGUGCGUCUCUAGCGGGCACGUGUAUCUGUUGGCGUACUUGUACCCGACACCUGACACUUGAGCUCAAAUCAGGCAAGACUACCCGCUGAACUUAA
rnacentral:rRNA from 1 species